GGUUUUUGUUUGCAACAGGAGGACCGUUGUUUUCAACAUCACCGCAGGAAACGUUACUGAUCAGACAACCUAUUUUGUAGAUGAUGACAGUAGUCGGCUCUACACCGGCUACCAUCACUACACCGACUACGAGAACUGCAUGGUUAUGACAAUCAGAUACCGCGACCACGAUCACUACUUGUUAUGGGUCAAGAGGUCUGUGGCUCACGCGGUUCCUCAGAACUGCCUGGACAACUACGAAGCGAAUUGCGAGGUCCGGGUUCCAACCUUCGACAAUGAUCUCUGUAGCGACGAUGAAGAAAAUGAGAGUUAGGCAAGAAACUUGGAUGUGCACUCAGGCUAGGCCCUUCAUCUUGGAGAUGUUUAUUAAAUGCGUCUAUGAAAUAAAUUGUGUCCAUCCUUCUCUU